AGAGUUUGAUCAUGGCUCAGGACGAACGCUGGCGGCGUGCUUAACACAUGCAAGUCGAACGAUGAAGCCUAGCUUGCUAGGUGGAUUAGUGGCGAACGGGUGAGUAAUACGUGAGUAACCUACCUUUAACUCUGGGAUAAGCCUGGGAAACUGGGUCUAAUACCGGAUACGACCAAUCUCCGCAUGGAGUGUUGGUGGAAAGCGUUAUGUAGUGGUUAUAGAUGGGCUCACGGCCUAUCAGCUUGUUGGUGAGGUAACGGCUCACCAAGGCGACGACAGGUAGCCGGCCUGAGAGGGUGACCGGCCACACUGGGACUGAGACACGGCCCAGACUCCUACGGGAGGCAGCAGUGGGGAAUAUUGCACAAUGGGCGCAAGCCUGAUGCAGCGACGCCGCGUGAGGGAUGACGGCCUUCGGGUUGUAAACCUCUGUUAGCAGGGAAGAAGAGAAAUUGACGGUACCUGCAGAGAAAGCGCCGGCUAACUACGUGCCAGC
rnacentral:rRNA from 1 species